UGGAAAAAUCUUGUAUAGCUUAUGUAUAAGACUUAAAAAUUUUUAUAUUAUUUUGAAACUUUGCUUUAGGGUUGGGGAGCCCUGGCCACCCACCCUUCUGUCUGUGGGU